CCCGUUCGGGGGGGAAAAAGCCACCAUAGUUUUGCGCCUUUCACGUUCCCUGCCGCGUUUGCGUUUUAUAGAAUUCAAGAGUGUAAGAGUGGCUUUGUAAAUAUUUCAAAAGUUCGAGUGAGUGCGCGCAAAAAUUAACGAAUUCCUUUGAAACGAGUUUGCGAAGUUACGUUUUUUUCAGAGAGAGGAGGGGAGGAGAGAGAGAGAAGGCAAGUUCGAAUAUAACGCCAUGCGUGUCGAAUUAUCGUAUUAGAAGUUUGUGAAACGAGAAGAUCUUCGUGACAAGUACGAUUAACACGUACGAUGGGAAAUAACAGAUUCUACCCUCUCUCGAUAUUUUAUCCAAUUUGCUGGUAAUUUUAUGUUCUGUGGAAACGUGACCGUGGACGUGAUUUAUUUAAACGCGACCCCCUCGCCACGCGACAGGCGGCGUCAUUCGAUCCAGGUUAAGAGAUUUUAAUUCCUGCCGGUUCUGUUCCCCCCGUGAAGCCGCUUAAUGAACACGCUCCGCGCGAUAAAUCAGCUACACCGAUCGAAUAUCAUCUCAUCCGCGAGAAACGAGAAUACCCGAUGGUAAAAUAGACGUGGUUGCGUAUACGUACCGAGUGGCGAAUCGCGCAGUGGACACGUGGUAACAGCGGCGAUGGCACACUAUUCCGAAACACCUGCGCGCACGUUGCUCCGCACAAACGAAUCGCGACGAGGAUGCAACACACUGGAUAUCUCUCGACACUGUACCGCCGCACGGUCUCUCUCUCUCCCUGCCUCCCCCGCGGGCCCACCUCCUCUUUCACGACGAGCGACGUUCGCGUGGCGGCGGUUCAUCAGCUCCGCCGGUUCAUCACCCAACGGCGGUUCACUUUUCGCCGGAAGUGGCUAUGUGGAUCACGAAAACGCGCGCCUCCAGAACCGCUCUCGUGGGGGAGGGCCCGAUACCGCGAGUAGGGGGAGUGCGAGGGACCACCGCCUGCUGCGACCAAAGGUGGGGGGGGGGAGAAGAGAUCACCGGAGAACCUUAGAAGCGAAAAGGAAAAGGACCGUGGAGGAGAGAAAACGUUGUAGGGAAAUGGGAUAGACGGCUAGAGAGAGAGAGAGAGAGAAGAGAACAGAACAGAAAGAAAGAGCGAGAAAGAAAGA